rnacentral:rRNA from 1 species
GAUGAACGCUGGCGGCAUGCUUAAUACAUGCAAGUCGAACGAGAGGAAGGAAAGCUUGCUUUUCUGAAUCUAGUGGCGAACGGGUGAGUAACACGUAGGUAACCUGCCCAUGUGCCCGGGAUAACUUCUGGAAACGGAUGCUAAAACCGGAUAGGUAGCAGACAAGCAUUUGACUGCUAUUAAAGUGGCUAAGGCCAUGAACAUGGAUGGACCUGCGGUGCAUUAGCUAGUUGGUGAGGUAACGGCCCACCAAGGCGACGAUGCAUAGCCGGCCUGAGAGGGCGGACGGCCACAUUGGGACUGAGGCACGGCCCAAACUCCUACGGGAGGCAGCAGUAGGGAAUUUUCGUCAGUGGGGGGAACCCUGAACGGGCAAUGCCGCGUGAGUGAGGAAGGUCUUCGAAUCGUAAAGCUCUGUUGUAAGAGAAAAACGACAUUCAUAGGGAAUGAUGAGUGAGUGAUGGUAUCUUACCAGAAAGUCACGGCUAACUACGUGCCAGCCGCCGCCGUAAUAC